rnacentral:rRNA from 1 species
CCUACGGGCGGCAGCAGUGAGGAAUAUUGGUCAAUGGACGAGAGUCUGAACCAGCCAAGUAGCGUGAAGGAUGACUGCCCUAUGGGUUGUAAACUUCUUUUAUAUGGGAAUAAAAUGUUCCACGUGUGGGAUUUUGUAUGUACCAUAUGAAUAAGGAUCGGCUAACUCCGUGCCAGCCGCCGCGGUAAUACGGAGGAUCCGAGCGUUAUCCGGAUUUAUUGGGUUUAAAGGGAGCGUAGGUGGAUUGUUAAGUCAGUUGUGAAAGUUUGCGGCUCAACCGUAAAAUUGCAGUUGAAACUGGCAGUCUUGAGUACAGUAGAGGUGGGCGGAAUUCGUGGUGUAGCGGUGAAAUGCUUAGAUAUCACGAAGAACUCCGAUUGCGAAGGCAGCUCACUGGACUGCAACUGACACUGAGGCUCGAAAGUGUGGGUAUCAAACAGGAUUAGAUACCCUGGUAGUC